GUGUCAGCAGCCGCGGUAAUACGGAGGGUCCAAGCGUUAUCCGGAAUCAUUGGGUUUAAAGGGUCCGUAGGCGGGCUAAUAAGUCAGAGGUGAAAGUUUGCAGCUCAACUGUAAAAUUGCCUUUGAUACUGUUAGUCUUGAGUUAUAGUGAAGUGGUUAGAAUAAGUGGUGUAGCGGUGAAAUGCAUAGAUAUCACUUAGAAUACCGAUUGCGAAGGCAGAUCACUAACUGUAUACUGACGCUGAGGGACGAAAGCAUGGGUAGCGAACGGGAUUAGAUACCCCGGUAGUCCAUGCUGUAAACGAUGGAUACUAGCUGUUGGCUUCGGUCAGUGGCUAAGCGAAAGUGAUAAGUAUCCCACCUGGGGAGUACGUUCGCAAGAAUGAAACUUAAAUGAAUUGACGGGG
rnacentral:rRNA from 1 species